UAGGGAAUAUUGGGCAAUGGACGAAAGUCUGACCCAGCCAUGCCGCGUGCAGGAUGACGGCCUUACGGGUUGUAAACUGCUUUUGUAUAGGAAGAAAAAGUCCUUGCGAGGAAAACUGACGGUACUAUACGAAUAAGCACCGGCUAACUCCGUGCCAGCAGCCGCGGUAAUACGGAGGGUGCGAGCGUUGUCCGGAUUUAUUGGGUUUAAAGGGUGCGUAGGCGGUCUAUUAAGUCAGUGGUGAAAGUCUGUAGCUCAACUAUAGAAGCGCCAUUGAUACUGGUAGACUUGAGUAUACCAUAAGUAGGCGGAAUUUAUGAUGUAGCGGUGAAAUGCAUAGAUAUCAUAAAGAACUCCGAUAGCGAAGGCAGCUUACUUGAGUAUAACUGACGCUGAUGCACGAAAGCGUGGGUAGCGAACAGGAUUAGAUACC
rnacentral:rRNA from 1 species